rnacentral:lncRNA from 1 species
CGCGGUUGAAGGAGUAGUGGAAAGACGUGGCUGACAGCAGAAAGGGAGCAGCACUCAGUGUUCAAAAAGCAUAACAUUCCUCUUGCUGAUGACACAAUUCCUGUGUGAAUCUGUUUACAAGAUUCUGAAAGCUGAACAGAGAAUUUUGGCACUGCACUGGGUAGGAAAAAGAAGGAAGAGGUUUCAUGGGCAGGGGAUGAAGGCUGUGGAGAAGAAGUGGGAAUUCAGAAAGGCAUAGCUUUGCAAGAAAUAGAUAACAUCAAGGACAUCAGGAGUGGGAGAGAUUGGACUGGGAGACUCAGCAGAUUUGGCACAACACAGCCACAUAGAGCAUGGACUCUAGAACCAGACCGAUUCAGUUCAAACCCAGACUUCUUUUGUUCCUCACACUGUGACCCAACAUGGAACUUCACCCCAUCAGUAAAACAAGGAUGAACAUAAACCCAACUCCCAGGGCUGUUAUGAGAGUUAAUUGUAUUAGUAUAUAUAAAGCAGUUGGAACCAACUCUAGCACAUAGGAAGUGCUGCACUGAUAUGAUAAAUUGGAGCUAUCAGUAUUUCUCAAUUCUUUAAUUAACUAACGCUAUCCAAAAAUAUAGUAUUAAAAGUUGAUUGUCCUAUUUUAAAAAAGCAAUUUUAUCUUCAAACUACUGUAUUCUGAAUUUUCUAGGGCUUUCUUCCUAAUUUCUUCAUCAUUCGGGAACUUUAAAAAGCAUAGGAACUUAAAGGAAACUAAUAUUAGAAGACAGUGGUCAACAUUUUUAAAAAAUAUAAAUGCAAUUAGGAGCUCAGCCCAAUGAGUGGAGUAUUCACUGGGCAGGCAAAGCUGGGGCAAAAUGGAAUUUUAUCUAAAAAUAAAAACCUUGAGAAAGUUUUUGGCUCUUGGUAA